rnacentral:rRNA from 1 species
UACGGAGGGCGCGAGCGUUGUCCGGAAUCACUGGGCGUAAAGGGCGCGUAGGCGGCCCUGGUAAGUCUGCGGUGAAAGCCCGGGGCUCAACCCCGGGUCGGCCGCGGGUACUGCCGGGCUGGAGUGCCGUAGGGGCAGGCGGAAUUCCGGGUGUAGCGGUGGAAUGCGUAGAGAUCCGGAAGAACACCGGUGGCGAAGGCGGCCUGCUGGGCGGCGACUGACGCUGAGGCGCGACAGCGUGGGGAGCGAAUGGG